AUGCAGAGCCCUCAUCUCCAGCAGCCAGGUGGAACAGACCGCUGGGAAAAGGGAGUUUGGUGUGUGAUGGCAAGAUUCACCAGUGCCCCUUCCACCAUUGGCUGCCCCUUAAAAGAAAAAGCAGUAAUCUGGCAAAAUGAACUCAGAACACACAAAGAGGAGCCACUGGAGACUAAUCUGCAAGGUAUUCAGAUUCUGCUACCAAACUGCUUCUGGGACUUCAUGCAGUUUGCUUCAUCUGAGAGAACCUCAGGUGUUGCUGUUGAGCAGAAAUUGGAAGAAACUGUGAAGGUGAAUAGACUGGGAAAAUGGUCCUGCCCAUCAUCACAGGAAACCAUAAACCUCACCACUGUGGGACAGGAGUGACCAACCAUGACCAUUUUUGCUGCCUUAGGAACAUCCCCAUUCCCUCUAUUUUUCAGAUAAGGUAAGAAAUUAGUUAAUAUCUGAAUUGAAUUGGGAAAAUACUGUUUUUAAUCAAACUGAAUGCAGCCUAAGCAAAAAGCCUGAAUACAAACUUCUAAAAUCAGUGACUUUAUACAUCUUCCAGAGGCCAUAUAUGUCAAGUGUACACCCUUUUUUUGGACUGAUACAGUAGAAGUGUCUUAACAGAGUGCUGAUGUAAUUCUGUCUGUUCAUUUUCUUUCUUGAAGCUGUUUGCUGCAUUUCAGACAGGUUAAAAUGGAGUGUUUUUCUGACUCUUGGGAAUGACAUUCAGCUUGCCUAUUAUAUCUUAUUAAAGGCUUUGUCAGGUUUGAAAAUGAGAAAUGUUCAAAUAAAAACAGUGUCUAGAGAGAGAGGCA
rnacentral:lncRNA from 1 species